rnacentral:lncRNA from 1 species
GAGCCUGAUUGGUUUGAGUUAACCUGUUUGGACCAAUUGAUCUAUUGGUGUCUAAGAUAAGUAAUUAAGAUGUGGUUAUUUAAUUAGUUCUAUUUGCUUAUCUGGUUAAUUUAUUAGUAUCUAAGGAAAGCAACAGGGGGACCCCCAUUGAUCUCCACUUACCUGACCAAUUUGGAAGAUUGGAUCUCAAUAAGGUUGCUUAGCGGUUUGGUUUAGCCCAUACCAAUUAGAUCGGUUAUAUGAUGACUGAUUAGAUGAGACCCAAACUUAAAUCUCUCCAUAAAUAUUAAGUCCAUAAGUCUUCCAUCAUUAUAGAUGUGC